GGAGGUGAAUGAGCGCCUGGUGGGCUCCCCGGUCUUCAAAACUGGUGAAAGGUGUAAGAGUCUUUGGCGGGUUCGAUUCCCGUCCACCUCCGCCA
rnacentral:tRNA from 1 species